AUUGAACGCUGGCGGCAUGCUUUACACAUGCAAGUCGAACGGUAACAGGCCGCAAGGUGCUGACGAGUGGCGAACGGGUGAGUAAUGCAUCGGAAUGUGCCCAGUCGUGGGGGAUAACGCAGCGAAAGCUGCGCUAAUACCGCAUACGAUUCCUGGACGAACGCGGGGGACCGAAAGGCCUCGCGCGAUUGGAGCGGCCGAUGUCAGAGUAGGUAGUUGGGGGGGUAAAGGCUCACCAAGCCAACGAUCUGUAGCUGGUCUGAGAGGACGACCAGCAACACUGGGACUGGGACACGGCCCAGACUCCUACGGGAGGCAGCAGUGGGGAAUUUUGGACAAGGGGCGCAAGCCUGAUCCAGCAAUGCCGCGUGCAGGAAGAAGGCCUUCGGGUUGUAAACUGCUUUUGUACGGAACGAAACGGUCCUGGUUAAUACCUGGGGCUAAUGACGGUACCGUAAGAAUAAGCACCGGCUAACUACGUGCCAGCAGCCGCCGUAA
rnacentral:rRNA from 1 species